rnacentral:rRNA from 1 species
UGUAAGCGUAUACCAAAGUUGUUGCAGUUAAAACGCUCGUAGUUGGAAUUUGGCAGUUCCGGAUGUGUGCACGUCGUGUGCGCACUUCGCGGGGAUUGCUUUUGUGGUCUUGCGUAGGAUGAGGCACUUUUAUUAGUGAACGUCCUCACGCAACCACUUUUUACUGUGAGAAAAUCAGAGUGCUCAAAGCAGGCAUUUGCCGUGAAUGUAUUAGCAUGGAAUAAUAGAAUAGGACUUGGUUCUAUUUUGUUGGUUUGUUGGGACUGAGUAAUGAUUAAGAGGGACAGUUGGGGGCAUUUGUAUUUCGGUGCUAGAGGUGAAAUUCUUAGAUUACCGAAAGACAAACUGCUGCGAAAGCGUCUGCCAAGGAUGUUUUCAUUGA